GAUGUAGGCCGACGGCGGACUGGCUGGGCGAAAGUGUACCGCAAAAGAAUUGUGCUUUGUUAUUGCUAAGAGUGGUGUGUUUCAGGUCGGCAAGUGUCGGACGGACGGCCAAAUGGUGUCCUGUGUGCGCGCCUGUCUAUUUGUGUGUGUGUGUGAGUGGUUGAAGUGGAAUGCUUGGGUCGAGAGAAAAUAAAUAAAUCUUCCCCGUCAGAAAGUCGAGACGAAGUGGCUCCCCCCCUCCCUCCCACCACAAAUGAGCACCUAAGGGGGGAGUAAAGGGGACGAGUUUAUGGUUUAUUAGGAAAUUUACCAUGCCCUAAUGAUGGGAAUCCUGUCCCGUGCCCGUGCCGACUGCCGUUGAUUGGCAUUUAUUAAGAACGUCCUGUGCACGCGAAGCAGCAGGCCUUCGCUGGAGCACCGACGGCAUAGCGGGCCCGCUUCGUGUGGAGUGUUCAGGUUGAAAAAGUGUAGUGCUUGCGCGUCACGCGGUUAGGAUAUGCUUAUCAAACAAGGAAGAAAAAGCCCGUGCGGCUACACACGGUGACGACGAAGGUGACAUUUGCCCUCCGGACAGUUGGAAGUGGUGUGUGGAACAGGGUCGCUAGUAAAGCAUUACAGUGCUAUCGAAUUUUCUGAGGGAGGAGGGAUUCGUAUCGACCCGUGAAGUUAAAAACGCGAAAUCAAUCCGCUGCUGCUUAAAGCGUUAGCAAGCAGGACCAGCGAGAGAGCGAUUGCUUUGUCGGCGAGGUUAAUCCAUUGGUCGGGUGGAAAUGGUGCUAAGUUUGGAUUUACUAAUCCGUUAAAUGGGAUCAUCCUUACAGCAGUUUAGUGCGGGGGUACGUUUUCCACACACCAAACCCAGCAGGAUAGCAGCAGAAUACAAUGCAGCGUGAAUAAUGUGUGUGUGAGUGCAUGGGUUGACGAAUGUGUGGAAACAUAAUUUGACAAGUGGGGUUCUGCUGUCCUGUUGAGGAUGGACCAUCGGGGACGGUCAACCGGAGCACGGGAAGAAGCAGCUUGUGCAUGCCAGUGAAACAAUCACCGUUCGGGAUUAUGUAGAACGCGACGGGUGUUCUAGUGCCGUGGUCAGUGCUGGAAGUGUGUGCAAGUGGAAUGAAAAUCUGACCAGGACACACCAGCUUUUGGUUGGAUUUGUCAUUUGAACAGAAUCCCUUGUUUUUUUUUCUCCCGGCCGCAAGACGUGUUGUGAUAGUGUGGUGGACUUCAAUCGUGCAAUCGUGGUAAUUGGGUGAAGGAAUCGGUAUUUUUUCCUGGAUAAUAUAAGUGCAAUGGAUAGCUUUAUUGAGUGAUAAACGAAAACCGAAAAACCCGGUAAGUUAUCAAUCACCUGUCGCGCUAAGUCAUCGAACAUAUACCAGGCCACACUGCUAGUUCGCGAGUUCGCUAUGGGUAAACGAUAAAGCGCUUUAGCCAGACCGAGACCAGCAUGCACGAAAAGGACGGUCACGAUCACUAUCGUUACGACACGUACACACCGCUGAUGAAGUCCGCGACCAUGAAGGGCGUCAAAGCGGUCCACUGCACCAGCGAAACGAGCACCGUGCUCAAGGGUGGCACGCACACGACGAUGACCAAGCACAGCACCACGAUCCACAGCAAGGACGGCACGGCCAAAUCGCGCUGCUGUUCCUGCUGCUCCAGCCGCGGUGGAUCCACCUUCUGGGCUGCACUACUGACAAACAUUGGCGUCUGCACGUUACUGCUGGCGUACACUUUACUAGGUUCGUUCAUCUUCCUUGCGAUCGAGGGAGGUGCAUCGCAGAUGCAACAGCGUACACUGGCCUCGACUAACCGGCACCAGAAACAGAUCCCGCUUAACAACAACAACAACAACCAUCACAGCCGACACGAUACGGCCAACCUUACCUUUCCACAGUUAAUACUGCUGGAAGCGGUUGAGGCACGCCAAAAGACGGUGGAAAACAUUUGGGAUAUUACGGUCUCGCUGAACAUUCUGUAUCGGGAAAAUUGGACACGAUUGGCAUCGAUGGAGAUUGCACGCUUUCAGGAGCAGUUUGUAAACCGAUUGCUGGAGGAGAUGACGCAGAUCAACAAUAUGCAGCACGCGGUCAGCAGCGGAGGUGCACACGAGCCGGGCCACGGGCAGGAUAACAAUUGGACCUUUGCUCGUGCCUUCCUGUACUCGCUGACCAUUUUGACGACGAUUGGUUAUGGAAGCGUGGCCCCGAGGACGGUUCUUGGACGGAUGAUAACUUUGGCCUACGCCGUGCUGGGUAUACCGCUGACACUCGUCUACCUUUCCAGUACCGGUGGAAUGCUGGCGAAAGUGGCCCGUGGCGUGUUUUCUAGAGUUCUUUGCUGCUGCCUGUGUUCCAACUGUGGCUACUGUUGCUACGACGAGAAGCGCAUGGAGGAGAAGGAAAAGCGCAUGAAGCGGAAGCGCCAACAGAUGGAGAUGCAGCAGCAACAGCAGCAGCAUCUCGCCCUGUCCGGCCAGGAACCGUACUACGUGCGGUCGGGAUCACUACAAAACAGUGUCAACUCGCCGGAGAAACAGCUUACCAUGUUGGGACCGGCCGGGGCGGCGGCAACCACCCCGGAUCUCGACUCGACCGCCGGCAGCAGCGACAGUGAGUCGCGUGCCUCGAUGCACGGUCUCAGCAUACUGGCACCGAUACUGCUGUGCGUGGCGAUGAUGUCGAUCUACAUCGUGGUCGGUGCGCUGACACUGUUCCGGCUCGAAUCGCUACCCCUAUCGGACGGUGUGUACUUUUGCUUUAUGGCACUGUCGACGAUCGGGUUCGGGGCGCUGGCACCCGGAACACGGCGCGAAUCUACGGCGACCACGUGGUUUUGCUCGGGGUACAUUAUGGCGGGGAUGGCACUGACUGCCAUGUGCUUUAACGUGCUGCACGACGAGAUACUGCACCGGUUGCGGCACAUGGUGGAGAUGCAGAAGGAGAUCAAGAGCCACAACGAGCAUCACCGGUUUCUGGCCUCAUGACGGUACGAGAAGAACACCAACCUGUACCAACGGAAUCCCACCGAGGAAACACUCAUCACUGGUACACCGACGUCAGUUAUCUUCGCACAGGAACCGGACCUGGGUCAGCUGCAUCAGCUGCAGCACGAUUGCCACUCGGUGCAUCAUACGGUCGGCCACGAGCUAAUACCGAUCGUAACGAUGGCUCCCAACGGUCCCAGUCCGGGCCUGUCGUCGGAGCUGUUGGACCGUGGCCCAGCGCUCUCGGACAUUGGGCCCGGUGGUCAGACAAUGAUGCACCCGGCAUCCGGUGACCAAACGGCAGUGCACGGAAUGGCAAUGGCAAGCAGUGGGGGGCUCGGUGGGAUGAUGUCAUCGAAUCUGAAUACGGGCGUGUACACGCUCCCGGAAGAAUCCGAACACGAGUCGGAGGAGUGUCCUGCUAUGUAAAACGGACCCAUCGCUCGUGCUAGCCCUCGUGGCGGGAUAACAGAUACAGGUAGUGGCUCCGUGGUGAGUCACGCUUACAGAAAUCAAUCAAUCGUUGAAUCAUUUCUUAACUGAAGCGUGCUGUUAAGGUGGAUCAAUUAUGGCUGCAUUAUGAUUACGUGUUAAAAGUUAGGUUUGAUGGUAAACUGGAUUCACAUGUAUUUUGAUUGGUAGAUAUGAGCAGGGAAGAGUGUAACAAAUGUCUUGGAAAAUGGAGUUGUUGAGUUAAUCGUUCUAUCCAUCGUCACGAUCACUGUAAAUACAAGAGGUACCAUCUACCAUAAUAGCCCCACUAACACUUUCCGCAAGUUACACCAAUAAAUCCUUGAGCACUUUCUCACCUAGCGAGGGAUUAUUUUACCAUUCUCAUUUAAUAACUAUCAUUUCCAGUGCGAAUUUUAUAACCAUCAUUGCUUUUGUUGUGUGAAACCGUAGGACAGUCAUUGAAUGAUAGUGUUUCUGUUUCCCAAGAAAUAUCCUACAGUACAGAAAUACAACGCUACUACUCACCAUACCCGAGGUAAGGAUCACAAUUAUGUUGCGUGUACUGAACAUAAUGCAUAGAUAAAGCAAAACCAAAACAAAAAAAACAUCACGUAAAACUAGAUAAUACCGAACGAAACUUAACUUAACAUGCCUGUAACGUACCAUAGUAUAUCACUACAUCUACUUAGAUAAAAGCGAACGAAAGGAUAGAAUAGCAUGUAACCUCACUUUUGAGCAAUUGUGUGUUGACUCUUGCAGGAGAACACCCCCCCUCCCUCAGAUAGAUAAAUGAAGCACACGAUCUACACCUGCCGAUGCGCCCAGUACGUGGGAAGGAAUGAUAUACGUUACGAUUCAAUCAUUUUGAGAUAGCAUCUAGGCGAGUGUAUGUUUCAAAGAAACUUUUAUCCUGUUUUUAGUACCUUUAACAUUCCGAACCAAGUGAAUAGCGCAAAUGUGUUUGUUUUUUUAAACUAAACUGUAUUUAUUACUUAUUUUUAUCUAGCUCUAUUUGCAAAUCGAAAAGCUCAUGUAAAAAAGAGGAUCAAAGUAAAGCCGAAAGCCAGUAACGCAAUUUAUUAAGAGCUACCGAUCGCAACUAUCAUACAUUCGGCAUCCGAAUAGUGUGUGAGGUGUUUUUGUAUAUUGUGAACACUUUUGUUACCAUAAAAGUUAACUGGAAAGGUUAAUGUAUUGUAAAGCAAACUAACCACUGGAAGGAAUUAAACGUACUUAUUGCAAUAUGCACAACAGAAUGAAGUGAACUAGCGCGUGAACGCCAGUAAGUCGUACGAUAGACAAUUAUACACAUUUCCCGCGCAGUACGCAAUACGUACGCCAUGGCUCUAUUGUAUGAUAAUGGAAUAUACUUCUCUUUCUACAGUAGACCUCUCCCAGAUGAAAUCACCCUCGUCCCGGUGCAAUACCUUUGACUUCCAACAUUGAAUUAGACGCAGAAACUGCUCCAAACUCUUUAUUAACUGUUAACCGAUCGAUCGAGCUCUCUGCAGCGUGGAACGAAACACAUGCGACACUUUUAUAACGUUGUACUCUUUUUUUUUUCUUCGACCCUAAAACCCUAAACCUGACCCUGUCGGUGUUGAUAAAGGCAAUCAUUAUUGGGGCAAAGUGAGGCGAGCGUUAUGUUAUGAGUAAUAAAAAGGACGAACAAUAUAAUCGUAGUAUGAGGAAAUGUUCCACACCCCUAAAUUCCUCUUUGUGCUUCAAAAAAACUACCAAAAAAGAAAAGUAUGGAAGAACUGUUUGUUAAUUAAAAAUGUGGGAAUGAAGCGCACAACUCAAGUAAACGUUCAGAUCGAUACUAACAUUUCAUAUCUAGCGAUGUGGAUGGGUGAUCGUGACGAUGUUUGGUUUGAGUGCACGAGAAGAGAUCGACCGACUCGAAUUUAUCCUGCCGUCAAGGAGCAUCAUAUAAAGCGCGAUCGGACGUCACACUAAAAUCGUUUUAACGCAAUGUGAUAAAUAAUGAACAGUAGUCGGGUUCGGUGUUCGUUAAUUGAAAGUGGAAACAAAAUGGAUGGAUUUGAAGCACGAGCGUAACGAAAGGAAGAAACAAAGAUUGAAUAAAUGCAUAAAUCCUGUAAACGGGCAUAACACACACAGACACACUCUACACUACAAGAUACAAGACAUCAUAAUACAUAACAUUCGUUGGACAAAUGCAUCCGGCGAACAGAUGGGACUUCCUCAAGUAUCAUGCAUGUCCAUUUGUCGGGAUGAACCGUUCAUCGUCCUUUUAUCGAUGCUGAAUCGUUGAUGUAAUAAAAAGUAUAUGCGUACACUAA